CUCUGUUAAGCACACUGAAAACUCAUCUUUUUAGCCUCUCUCUCUCUCCUCUGUCUACCUCUCUGUGCCUCUUCAGUCCCAGGCUCCAUAAUGCCACAUCAAUACCGCAGCAGGGAGGAGGCACCGCACUAAUGUAAACACACAGGUCGACCUCGCUUUGCUCCCCGUGGCCGACGCCAGAGAAGAAGAAAACGCAGCACAAAGGAGGGAUGAAAAAGGCCGGACUGAAAGACUUGCUGUUUUUCACAGAAUCCUGCGAAAGGCCUCCAACUGUGACAUGCUAACCCCUUUCAAAUGUCGGAUCAUCACUGGGGGACGGUCGCUCUCAAGAUCAGCCCUGGGGACGGAGCGGCACGGCUGGCUAACAAGCUCUGUCGUCGGCCAGGGCCUCAGUGGUGAGCUGUGGUCACAGGCCUUCCAGAUGGACCUUGGUGCUGGAUGAGUGAUGCAUCAUAGCUGGCCUGGGUUCAGCCAAAGCCCCCCCCCCCCACUGUCUUAGCCAGCUCUCAUCACAGCCCAGACCAGGUCCAGGACCAGAGGGAACCAUGUCAUUCCUCUUGCUUUGAAAAUGUGUCUACUGCCUCCCUCACAGGCUCUUUGUCUCCAUAUUUCUGCGAUCAUUUUUUACAUGUUGAAAACAAUCAUGUCCUCACAAACACCAUCAUCCAUUGCCACCUGUCUGUUCAUUGUUGUUUGCAUCCCUUGAUGGUAAUUGGUGUUAGGCAGCGGUUGCCCUCAGGACCACUAAGCACAAUACACUGUAUAUGCAUUGUGUACCAUACAAAACAGAAUAAACAUCAUUUAAUUUGCAUGCUUAUCGCUAAAGCUGCACCCUGUGGCUUGACCGAGGUAAUAAAGCUGUUUCUGAUAUAUUCAUACGUGAUGGAGCCACAGCAUCUGAAAUACCACCGGGAGGAGUAGGCGGGAGGACAUGGGAGGAAUGAGAGGGGAGGAAAAUGGUAGUCUGUGUGUGUGUGUUGGGGGGGGCAGAAUUAAGCUGGCUGACGGUGCUUCCCACGCAAAAUACUAGAGUAAAGUUGCGUUCCCACAGAGGGCGAAGCAAGCAUCUGCCUCGCAUUACUCAUGCAAAUUUACCCGUGGGUUAAUUUGAAUUUACUCAUGUUACAUGCACAAGGACUUAAUCUCAAUAAACAGAUCAAAAUGAUGCCAAAAUAACUACUAACUAACUAAAUAACUAUCAUAGUUCGUCGGGUCUGUGCGCUAGAUGACAACUUUUAAAAUGCUUCUGAAUAGAGUUUGGUUGAUCAGGGCUAUGAUAACCCCAGGCCAUUCUUAACACAGCCUCUUUUCAGUCUGGUUGCAGAGAAACUCAAGGCUAGGCACAGGAUACAAACCAUCAGAAAAACAAGACGGCCUCCAGACUGUCAGCGGAGAGUCUGGAAAACAGGGAAAAUCAUGGGCUCUAUCUUGCACUCAGCGCAAUUGACUUUGUACACUGGCGCUUGUAUAAUUCCUAUUUUGCACUCGACGCACAUUGGAAUUUUCCCUCCACCGACGCACGUCCUUAAAUUAGUGAAUGAACUUGCGCUCCAGGGGGGCGGUUCAGCAAAAAGAGGAGGCGUGUUCCGGCGCAAACGUUCCCUGGUGCUAUUUUGCUGUUUCAGAAAACAAUUCCGCCACAGACCAGGAAAAACCUAGUCUAAAGUCAGUGGCGCUUAUUCAGAUGCAUUUUAAGGGCGCAGACUCGAGGGGAUGCGCCCGAGAGGCAGCAGCAACAUCGCCACCCGGUCAAGACGGGCAUUAAUACUUUGCCGUAUCCCGGACAGCUCCCGCUCCAGCAUGUCAAACCCGGUUUGCUGCAGGAACGGGUGGUCCUCCGGCGUGUAGUGGGUCUGGAUCCUCUGCUCCUUGGUGUUUGCCCCGCUCCCUCCUCAGUUGGCCCUUGCGCACUGCUCGGCCCGUGCGCACUGCUCCAGAGGCCAGGGUCUUCUUCCUGCGAAGCUGCGUUACAUUGUUUUGAUUUAUUGUAUGGCUGUGUUACAUUUAUUUCAUGUCAAUAAUGUCACUUCCUGGUAUUUUACGGCCCUGAUGAGAACGUCGGUCUCCUCGGCUGUGAACCGCUCCUGGCGUGCGCCUGGCCAAUCCGCCGUUAUAAUAGCAAUCCGCCAUGGAACAAGCGCGCCUGCUUUUAAAGGGAAUGUGAGAUGACGCUCUGAUUGGUUUAUUAAACAACACCUAUGACUAAUGUAGCUACUUCAGACCAACCCAUUUUAGAUUUGCGCCAGGCGCAAGAGUAAUUUAUCCCGCCGGCAUAAUAGCAACAGCACCCGAGAUCCGCCCACAAAGCUACUUGCGUUUUGCGUUUGAUACUUGCGUUUCAGAUCGGCAAGAUAGGGCCCCAUAAGUUCAAGGGAUUUUUUGGAGCCCUGUUUGCCUGUCCAUGAAAAUUUAAAAAUCUGGCUGCUUGUGAAACUUUAGCGUGUGGAUGUGAAAUCUUUCUGCACACACAUAAUUCUGCACAUUGAAGCUGAAAUAUUCAAACUGUAAGUAAGACCUUUUACAGUGUACACAAAAAGUGGAGGGUGCCUUUAAGUGCUGUGAAAGCACCACAAGCCUUACUGUUUUAAUGUAAGGUAGGGACAUUUAAAUAUACCAACUAGACUAACUUCUAACUUCAUAGACAUACAGAAAUAGUACCAGUUUGUCUCCCUCCUGUAAAUGGCUUGUUUGGUUGCAAACACUCAUGUUCAAACACUCAAAAUCAAAGUGUUUAAAAUCAAAUGUAUUGGCAGACAUUCAAAGAAGUAACUCUAAUUUUAAUGGAGAUCCUUGAACAUGAGUUCACUUGGGUUCAGUCAACAUCCAGAGUAGAUUGAAUUAAUGUUUAAUGUUCCACAAUGUGAAAAAACAUUUCUGUAGACAGUUAGGAUACAUAUU